rnacentral:rRNA from 1 species
GGUUAAGCGACUAAGCGUACACGGUGGAUGCCCUGGCAGUCAGAGGCGAUGAAGGACGUGCUAAUCUGCGAAAAGCGCCGGCGAGGUGAUAUGAACCCUUGACCCGGCGAUGUCCGAAUGGGGAAACCCAGUGCAAUCCGUUGCACUAUCGUUAACUGAAUACAUAGGUUAACGAGGCGAACCGGGGGAACUGAAACAUCUAAGUACCCCGAGGAAAAGAAAUCAACCGAGAUUCCCCCAGUAGCGGCGAGCGAACGGGGAGCAGCCCGGAGUCUGAAUCAGCUUGUGUGUUAGUGGAACGGUCUGGAAAGUCCGACGGUACAGGGUGAUAGUCCCGUACACGAAAGCACACAUGCUGUGAACUCGAAGAGUAGGGCGGGACACGUGGUAUCCUGUCUGAAUAUGGGGGGACCAUCCUCCAAGGCUAAAUACUCCUGACUGACCGAUAGUGAACCAGUACCGUGAGGGAAAGGCGAAAAGAACCCCGGCGAGGGGAGUGAAAAAGAACCUGAAACCGUGUACGUACAAGCAGUGGGAGCCUCUUUAUGGGGUGACUGCGUACCUUUUGUAUAAUGGGUCAGCGACUUAUAUUCUGUAGCAAGGUUAACCGUAUAGGGGAGCCGAAGGGAAACCGAGUCUUAACUGGGCGUUAAGUUGCAGGGUAUAGACCCGAAACCCGGUGAUCUAGCCAUGGGCAGGUUGAAGGUUGGGUAACACUAACUGGAGGACCGAACCGACUAAUGUUGAAAAAUUAGCGGAUGACCUGUGGCUGGGGGUGAAAGGCCAAUCAAACCGGGAGAUAGCUGGUUCUCCCCGAAAGCUAUUUAGGUAGCGCCUCGUGAACUCAUCUUCGGGGGUAGAGCACUGUUUCGGCUAGGGGGCCAUCCCGGCUUACCAACCCGAUGCAAACUACGAAUACCGAAGAAUGUUAUCACGGGAGACACACGGCGGGUGCUAACGUCCGUCGUGAAGAGGGAAACAACCCAGACCGCCAGCUAAGGUCCCAAAGUCAUGGUUAAGUGGGAAACGAUGUGGGAAGGCACAGACAGCCAGGAUGUUGGCUUAGAAGCAGCCAUCAUUUAAAGAAAGCGUAAUAGCUCACUGGUCGAGUCGGCCUGCGCGGAAGAUGUAACGGGGCUAAACCAUGCACCGAAGCUGCGGCAGCGACACUAUGUGUUGUUGGGUAGGGGAGCGUUCUGUAAGCCGUUGAAGGUGUGCUGUGAGGCAUGCUGGAGGUAUCAGAAGUGCGAAUGCUGACAUAAGUAACGAUAAAGCGGGUGAAAAGCCCGCUCGCCGGAAGACCAAGGGUUCCUGUCCAACGUUAAUCGGGGCAGGGUGAGUCGACCCCUAAGGCGAGGCCGAAAGGCGUAGUCGAUGGGAAACAGGUUAAUAUUCCUGUACUUGGUGUUACUGCGAAGGGGGGACGGAGAAGGCUAUGUCAGCCGGGCGACGGUUGUCCCGGUUUAAGCAUGUAGGCGGAGGUUCCAGGUAAAUCCGGUACCUUGUUAACGCUGAGGUGUGAUGACGAGGCACUACGGUGCUGAAGUGAUAAAUGCCCUGCUUCCAGGAAAAGCCUCUAAGCAUCAGGUAACACGAAAUCGUACCCCAAACCGACACAGGUGGUCAGGUAGAGAAUACCAAGGCGCUUGAGAGAACUCGGGUGAAGGAACUAGGCAAAAUGGUGCCGUAACUUCGGGAGAAGGCACGCUGAUGUGUAGGUGAAGCCCCUGCGGGUGGAGCUGAAAUCAGUCGAAGAUACCAGCUGGCUGCAACUGUUUAUUAAAAACACAGCACUGUGCAAACACGAAAGUGGACGUAUACGGUGUGACGCCUGCCCGGUGCCGGAAGGUUAAUUGAUGGGGUUAGCGGCAACGCGAAGCUCUUGAUCGAAGCCCCGGUAAACGGCGGCCGUAACUAUAACGGUCCUAAGGUAGCGAAAUUCCUUGUCGGGUAAGUUCCGACCUGCACGAAUGGCGUAAUGAUGGCCAGGCUGUCUCCACCCGAGACUCAGUGAAAUUGAACUCGCUGUGAAGAUGCAGUGUACCCGCGGCAAGACGGAAAGACCCCGUGAACCUUUACUAUAGCUUGACACUGAACACUGGUCCUUGAUGUGUAGGAUAGGUGGGAGGCUUUGAAGCGUGGACGCCAGUCUGCGUGGAGCCNNNNNNNNNNNNNNNNNNNNNNNNNNNNNNNNNNNNNNNNNNNNNNNNNNNNNNNNNNNNNNNNNNNNNNNNNNNNNNNNNNNNNNNNNNNNNNNNNNNNNNNNNNNNNNNNNNNNNNNNCCGGGUUGCGGACAGUGUCUGGUGGGUAGUUUGACUGGGGCGGUCUCCUCCCAAAGAGUAACGGAGGAGCACGAAGGUUGGCUAAUCCUGGUCGGACAUCAGGAGGUUAGUGCAAUGGCAUAAGCCAGCUUGACUGCGAGCGUGACGGCGCGAGCAGGUGCGAAAGCAGGUCAUAGUGAUCCGGUGGUUCUGAAUGGAAGGGCCAUCGCUCAACGGAUAAAAGGUACUCCGGGGAUAACAGGCUGAUACCGCCCAAGAGUUCAUAUCGACGGCGGUGUUUGGCACCUCGAUGUCGGCUCAUCACAUCCUGGGGCUGAAGUAGGUCCCAAGGGUAUGGCUGUUCGCCAUUUAAAGUGGUACGCGAGCUGGGUUUAGAACGUCGUGAGACAGUUCGGUCCCUAUCUGCCGUGGGCGCUGGAGAAUUGAGGGGGGCUGCUCCUAGUACGAGAGGACCGGAGUGGACGCAUCACUGGUGUUCGGGUUGUCAUGCCAAUGGCACUGCCCGGUAGCUAAAUGCGGAAGAGAUAAGUGCUGAAAGCAUCUAAGCACGAAACUUGCCCCGAGAUGAGUUCUCCCUGAGACUUUAAGUCUCCUGAAGGAACGUUGAAGACGACGACGUUGAUAGGUCGGGUGUGUAAGCGCAGCGAUGCGUUGAGCUAACCGAUACUAAUGAACCGUGAGGCUUAACCUU